rnacentral:rRNA from 1 species
GACGAACGCUGGCGGCGUGCUUAACACAUGCAAGUCGAACGGAAAGGCCCUGCUUUUGUUGGGUUCUCGAGUGGCGAACGGGUGAGUAACACGUGAGUAACCUGCCCUUGACUUUGGGAUAACAUCAGGAAACUGGGGCUAAUACCGGAUAUGAGCUCCUGCUGCGUGGUGGUGGUUGGAAAGUUUCGGCGGUUGGGGAUGGACUCGCGGCUUAUCAGCUUGUUGGUGGGGUAGUGGCUUACCAAGGCUUUGACGGGUAGCCUGCCUGAGAGGGUGACCGGCCACAUUGGGACUGAGAGACGGCCCAGACGGCUACGGGAGGCAGCAGUGGGGAAUAUUGCACAAUGGGCGGAAGCCUGAUGCAGCAACGCCGCGUGCGGGAUGACGGCCUUCGGGUGGUAAACAUCUUUCGCCUGUGACGAAGCGUGAGUGACGGUAAUGGGUAAAGAAGCAACGGCUAACUACGUG